rnacentral:rRNA from 1 species
CGUCUUGAAACACGGACCAAGGAGUCUAGCAUGUGCGCGAGUCAUAGGGAUUAUCCAUACGAAACCCUGAGGCGCAAUGAAAGUGAACGUUAGGGACGAUGGCGAACGGUUCGCCGUUCCCGCCCGCAGUCCCGGGGUGUUUCGAGAAAUGCCAUCGUGCGAUUAUCGAGACUCACCGAGAGCGUACACGCUGGGACCCGAAAGAUGGUGAACUAUGCCUGGUCAGGUCGAAGUCAGGGGA